rnacentral:rRNA from 1 species
GACGAACCGUCCUAACGUUGUUCGGAAUCACUGGGCUUAAAGGGCGCGUAGGCGGGCUGCCAAGUCUAGGGUGAAAUCUUUCGGCUUAACCGGAAAAUAGCCUUGGAUACUGGUGGUCUCGAGGGAGGUAGGGGUCGUUGGAACUUCCGGUGGAGCGGUGAAAUGCGUUGAUAUCGGAAGGAACGCCGGUGGCGAAAGCGAACGACUGGACCUCUUCUGACGCUGAGGCGCGAAAGCCAGGGGAGCAAACGGG